GUGAGGAAUAUUGGUCAAUGGACGCAAGUCUGAACCAGCCAUGCCGCGUGCAGGAAGACGGCUCUAUGAGUUGUAAACUGCUUUUGUACUAGGGUAAACGCUCUUACGUGUAGGAGCCUGAAAGUAUAGUACGAAUAAGGAUCGGCUAACUCCGUGCCAGCAGCCGCGGUAAUACGGAGGAUCCAAGCGUUAUCCGGAUUUAUUGGGUUUAAAGGGUGCGUAGGCGGUUUGAUAAGUUAGAGGUGAAAUUUCAGGGCUCAACCCUGAACGUGCCUCUAAUACUGUUGAGCUAGAGAGUAGUUGCGGUAGGCGGAAUGUAUGGUGUAGCGGUGAAAUGCUUAGAGAUCAUACAGAACACCGAUUGCGAAGGCAGCUUACCAAACUAUAUCUGACGUUGAGGCACGAAAGCGUGGGGAGCAAACAGGAUUAGAAACCCGAGUAGUCC
rnacentral:rRNA from 1 species